rnacentral:tRNA from 1 species
UUUCCGAUUUGGUUCACGGCAGGGACAGGCGGCUGUUGGUCAUUAUCGGGCCGUGUUCGAUUCACGAUCCGAAAGC